GUUUUUUACGUCUGCCACCGCGUCACAGAGCAGUCCAGGUGAUGGAAACGAUGAUCAUGCGACGAAAAACAAGUAUUUUUCAAACCGCCACCACCGCUUCUCAUGAUUUCUAUCAGCACUCUGAAGCAACCGGUACGUUUUCUGAUAAGUAUUUAGUCACCGCUUUGUGUUGGGAGUGUGCUUGCUUUACUCAAAAGAGUGAAGAAAAAUGAGAGUGUUUUGGUUGCUUGUCUUGCUGGUUCUCACAAGCUGGGAUUUUACGCAGAGCAGCGGCAGUGAUGAUCUUCGUGAGCUCUCGAGUGGCGGGGAUCAGCGUGUUCACUUGCCGCCAUUUCCUCAUCGCAAGCACCACCCGCCGCCUCCAUUCUUCUACCGGUCGCCACCUCCGCCAUCGCCACCACCGCCGUCGCCACCAUCGCCACCUCCACCACCGCCGCCGCACCACCACCACUUGGCACCCUUUCCUCAUAGCAAACACCACCCUCCGCCUCCAUUCUUCUACCUGUCGCCACCUCCGCCAUCGCCACCACCACCUCACAGGCAUCCUACAAGGCAUCCAUGCCUUGGAAAGCGCGAGUUUUCUCCACUUAAGCUGGUCAUCCAAGGCAGGGUCGUGUACAAGAUUGACAAAGGACUCGAAGGUAAGCAAGCUUAUCAGAUGCGAUUAACAGAUGGCUAAGACUACCUUCUUUCUUAUCAAGG
rnacentral:lncRNA from 1 species